rnacentral:rRNA from 1 species
GAUGAACGCUGGCGGCGUGCCUAAUACAUGCAAGUCGAGCGAACAGACAAGGAGCUUGCUCCUUUGACGUUAGCGGCGGACGGGUGAGUAACACGUGGGUAACCUACCUAUAAGACUGGGAUAACUUCGGGAAACCGGAGCUAAUACCGGAUAAUAUUUCGAACCGCAUGGUUCGAUAGUGAAAGAUGGUUUUGCUAUCACUUAUAGAUGGACCCGCGCCGUAUUAGCUAGUUGGUAAGGUAACGGCUUACCAAGGCGACGAUACGUAGCCGACCUGAGAGGGUGAUCGGCCACACUGGAACUGAGACACGGUCCAGACUCCUACGGGAGGCAGCAGUAGGGAAUCUUCCGCAAUGGGCGAAAGCCUGACGGAGCAACGCCGCGUGAGUGAUGAAGGUCUUCGGAUCGUAAAACUCUGUUAUUAGGGAAGAACAUACAUGUAAGUAACUAUGCACGUCUUGACGGUACCUAAUCAGAAAGCCACGGCUAACUACGUGCCAGCAGCCGCGGUAAUACGUAGGUGGCAAGCGUUAUCCGGAAUUAUUGGGCGUAAAGCGCGCGUAGGCGGUUUUUUAAGUCUGAUGUGAAAGCCCACGGCUCAACCGUGGAGGGUCAUUGGAAACUGGAAAACUUGAGUGCAGAAGAGGAAAGUGGAAUUCCAUGUGUAGCGGUGAAAUGCGCAGAGAUAUGGAGGAACACCAGUGGCGAAGGCGACUUUCUGGUCUGUAACUGACGCUGAUGUGCGAAAGCGUGGGGAUCAAACAGGAUUAGAUACCCUGGUAGUCCACGCCGUAAACGAUGAGUGCUAAGUGUUAGGGGGUUUCCGCCCCUUAGUGCUGCAGCUAACGCAUUAAGCACUCCGCCUGGGGAGUACGACCGCAAGGUUGAAACUCAAAGGAAUUGACGGGGACCCGCACAAGCGGUGGAGCAUGUGGUUUAAUUCGAAGCAACGCGAAGAACCUUACCAAAUCUUGACAUCCUCUGACCCCUCUAGAGAUAGAGUUUUCCCCUUCGGGGGACAGAGUGACAGGUGGUGCAUGGUUGUCGUCAGCUCGUGUCGUGAGAUGUUGGGUUAAGUCCCGCAACGAGCGCAACCCUUAAGCUUAGUUGCCAUCAUUAAGUUGGGCACUCUAAGUUGACUGCCGGUGACAAACCGGAGGAAGGUGGGGAUGACGUCAAAUCAUCAUGCCCCUUAUGAUUUGGGCUACACACGUGCUACAAUGGACAAUACAAAGGGCAGCGAAACCGCGAGGUCAAGCAAAUCCCAUAAAGUUGUUCUCAGUUCGGAUUGUAGUCUGCAACUCGACUAUAUGAAGCUGGAAUCGCUAGUAAUCGUAGAUCAGCAUGCUACGGUGAAUACGUUCCCGGGUCU